GUGAUGGCGGCGUGCUACACAUGCAAGUCGAACGAUGAUGGAGAGCUUGCUCUCCUGAUUAGUGGCGCACGGGUGAGUAUACCAUAGAUAAUGUACCUCUUAGUUCGGGAUAGCCACUGGAAACGGUGAUUAAUACCGGAUACUCCUUCUCAUUAUAAGAUGAGUCGGGAAAGUUUUUUCGCUAAGAGAUCAGUCUAUGUCCUAUCAGCUAGUUGGUGAGGUAAUGGCUCACCAAGGCUAUGACGGGUAUCUGGUUUGAGAGGAUGAUCAGACACACUGGAACUGAGACACGGUCCAGACUCCUACGGGAGGCAGCAGUGAGGAAUAUUGCACAAUGGAGGAAACUCUGAUGCAGCAACGCCGCGUGGAGGAUGACGCAUUUCGGUGUGUAAACUCCUUUUAAGAGGGAAGAUAAUGACGGUACCUCUUGAAUAAGCACCGGCUAACUCCGUGCCAGCAGCCGCGGUAAUACGGAGGGUGCAAGCGUUACUCGGAAUCACUGGGCGUAAAGGGUGCGUAGGCUGGCUUUUAAGUCAGAUGUGAAAUCCAAUGGCUUAACCAUUGAACUGCAUUUGAAACUGAAAGCCUAGAGUUCAGAAGGGGCAAAUGGAAUCAGUGGUGUAGGGGUAAAAUCCGUAGAUAUCACUAGGAAUAUCAAAAGCGAAGGCGAUCUGCUGGGAUGAUACUGACGCUGAGGCACGAAAGCGUGGGGAGCAAACAGGAUUAGAUACCCUGGUAGUCCACGCCCUAAACGAUGAAUGCUAGUCGUCGGGGAGCUCGUCUCUUCGGUGAUGCACUUAACAGAUUAAGCAUUCCGCCUGGGGAGUACGGUCGCAAGAUUAAAACUCAAAGGAAUAGACGGGGACCCGCACAAGUGGUGGAGCAUGUGGUUUAAUUCGAAGAUACACGAAGAACCUUACCUGGCCUUGACAUGGUAGGACCCCUUAAGAGAUUAGGGGGUGCUAGCUUGCUAGAACCUACACACAGGUGCUGCACGGCUGUCGUCAGCUCGUGUCGUGAGAUGUUGGGCUAAGUCCCGCAACGAGCGCAACCUCGUCGUUAGUGCUAACAGUUCGGCUGAGCACUCUACGAGACUGCCUUCGUAGGAGGAGAGUGAGACGACGUCAGUCAUCAUGUCCUUACGGCCAGGGCUACACACUGCUACAUGGGGCGUAAAAGAGCUGCAAUACCGCGAGGUGGAACCCAAUUCUUUAAGGCGCUU
rnacentral:rRNA from 1 species